rnacentral:lncRNA from 1 species
ACUGCUUAGGAACAGGACCAGUUGCUGAUGGGAACAAGAGUCUGAGCCAGAUGGAAGCCAUGAAGGACCUGAAGCAUACUCUAGUUGAUCAGUUUGUGGAGAAUUAACUUCUGGAACAGACUCAAUGAUUCUUCUUGAUGAGAAUAGCAAGAAAGGGAAGUGUGAUGGGUAUUUCAGCUAUCUUCUGGAGAUCAGAUCAAGCACACACCUCGUAAAAUAA